rnacentral:rRNA from 1 species
GUAGGGAAUAUUGGACAAUGGGCGGAAGCCUGAUCCAGCCAUGCCGCGUGGAGGAUGACUGCCCUCUGGGUUGUAAACUCCUUUUGUACAGGAAGAAACCUCCUCAUUUAUGAGUGAGCUGACGGUACUGUAAGAAUAAGCACCGGCUAACUCCGUGCCAGCAGCCGCGGUAAUACGGAGGGUGCAAGCGUUAUCCGGAUUCACUGGGUUUAAAGGGUGCGUAGGCGGUUUUAUAAGUCAGUGGUGAAAUCAACGGGCUCAAGCUGUUAACUGCCAUUGAUACUGUAGGACUUGAAUAUGAGAGAGGUAGGAGGAAUGUUGCAUGUAGCGGUGAAAUGCUUAGAUAUGCUACGGAACACCGAUUGCGAAGGCAGCUUACUAUUACAUGAUUGACGCUGAGGCACGAAAGCGUGGGUAGCGAACAGGAUUAGAAACCCCGGUAGUCC